ACCUUUUUGAGCAUGUGAUAUGAGGUUACAUUAUAGGUCUUUGAGAGAGCUACAAUGAUUAUGAAUACACUUUUCUCAUUUGAAGCACAAUUAAAAAGUUAAGCAAGGUGGAAUAUUAAGACAUAUGGCUUGACACUUAGAAAAAUCUUGAUAUGUCAAAAAUUUCCAAACUUCCACCUCAAAUUUAUUCAAGUUACAAACUCUAAAUGGAAAAGUGUUGAACAUGAAAGUUGUUCCUCUUGAUCUCACAUUUCCAAAGAGCUCAAAUUCAUUCAUUUUGGACA
rnacentral:lncRNA from 1 species